rnacentral:rRNA from 1 species
UACGUAGGGUGCAAGCGUUAAUCGGAAUUACUGGGCGUAAAGCGUGCGUAGGCGGUCAUGUAAGUCGGGUGUGAAAGCCCCGGGCUCAACCUGGGAAUUGCAUUCGAGACUGCAUGGCUAGGGUGCGGAAGAGGGAAGCGGAAUUUCCGGUGUAGCGGUGAAAUGCGUAGAUAUCGGAAGGAACAUCAGUGGCGAAAGCGGCUUCCUGGUCCAGCACCGACGUUCAGGCACGAAAGCGUGGGGAGCAAACAGG